rnacentral:ncRNA from 1 species
UUUACUUAUUCUGUGGGGAGGAGAUGGGGCAUAGCCCCUAUUUUUGGCCAUAAGACACAUUUUGGCAGGUCAAUAUGGGUGGAAGACAUUGUCAGGUGGGGAGUUUGGCUAGGGUGACACAUUUAUUAAAAGAUAACACAAGUGUCCUAAGAUGAGCUCAACAAGAACUGAAAUCUCGUGUGGAACAAAGGGUAAAAUAUCAGUUGAUUUUCCACCAACCUAUUGAUCCUUGCAAUACAUUGAUGGAUAUGAAUUAAUACAUCAAUUAGAUUUUUUCAUGCAUCAACAUAGUUAAUUUAAAAUAUUGAUUGCUUGAGUAAGAUUAAGUGGCCAAUGGCACAUCCAAAGGAAUGGUUCAUGCAACCCCAUGAAAGGAUAGGUUAAUAGGACUAGAGAUGUAUGGAGGAAGUAUAAAUACCUAAUUAAUGUUAAUCACACUCACUAAUGACUAACGACCAACUUUUGACAUGCAAGG